CAUAAACAUAAAAGUACGCAUCCAGCGUCACCAACUGACAGAAGCAUAUUUCGCCACUUGUCGCCACUCACACCGCAACACUGACAGAACAGCAAUCGGCAUACUUCCUCCGGACAUAGUGCAUGGAUCUAUAGAGUGAAGUGGUCCCAUCUAGCGUGCUCUCCAAGCUGUGCCAAUCUCGCCGAUCCAAACCGGCAAUCCACGUCGCAAGAAACCAUAAUCUCCUACUCUAACGGAGGUACAAUCAAUAACGUGAAGCACGGCCUACUGGCAAAGGAUACGGCAGGAUAAACGAUUUUAAAGCGGAAUCUAACACUUGGCACUCUCCGGAGAGGAUACUGAAACAUCCGGAAAGAAAGCUCUUAGUGUGCUAGCAGUCGAGCAACAGUCUGUACUUCAGUCUCGUAGACCGACCCGAAACAAAAGAAGUCUUCCUAGUGAAGGCUUCUUUAUACGGGUCAUUGAAACGUCAGUCAUUUGGCUUUGUGCCUUGCAUCCGAGACGUAAUACUGCGAGCAUACCUAACCAGCAGUCUGCACUGGAGAGGACGGAGGGACACGCGUUAAGCUCGCCACUCUAUAUGGUCACGGCGCAAAUUGUGUGCAGCACCUCAAGAGCAAAGUAGCGGAGGGAUUUCAGGCUCCACAAUUCAUCGGACCAUCAUCCCAAAUCCUGCACACGGAAGACACAUCUCGCUACCAUUUGUGUUCAGUGUAGCGCCGGCACACCAGUCAUUGAAUCGAGGUUAUGCACUGCGGAGCAAAAGCGGUGAGAAGUGCCUCUGCGGGUCAAGCGAUGACUUGUAUGCUGUAAGUAAGUGGAAGUGCAAGGAGCGCGGUCAGAUGACAAGCGCAUUCGAACGACUGGAUCUGGAAAGCGGGGCCCCGUCAACAGCAGCUGCGCCAGAGCAUCGAGUAUGCCGUUAGCGGCUCGACACAAAAUUAGGUCGUAAGGUUGUAACCGAUCGUUUGAAGGUUACAAUAUAAUCUUGGUUUUCGUGCAUGCUAAUUUGAGUUUGUCGUUUUUUUUGUUGUUUUUCUUGAUUAUUAUAUUUAUUUAUUUUUUUGUUAUUGUUAAAUAAAAAUAAAAUAAAUUAUGUCGGAGGCGAGCCAGCCUGGGGCUGCAAGUCUCCUUAAAAAAGCCAAUAAAAAAAAAAAAAAAAAUUAUGUACAAUAAAUUUGCAUUAAACUAAU